rnacentral:rRNA from 1 species
UACGUAGGGAGCAAGCGUUGUUCGGAUUUACUGGGCGUAAAGGGCGCGUAGGCGGCAAAUUAAGUCAGCUGUGAAAUCUCCGAGCUUAACUCGGAACUGUCAGCUGAUACUGAUCUGCUAGAGUGCGGAAGGGGCAAUCGGAAUUCUUGGUGUAGCGGUGAAGUGCGUAGAUAUCAAGAGGAACACCUGAGGUGAAGACGGGUUGCUGGGCCGACACUGACGCUGAGUGCGCGAAAGCCAGGGGAGCAAACGGG